GAGUUUGAUCCUGGCUCAGGACGAACGCUGGCGGUAUGCUUAACACAUGCAAGUCGAACGAGAAGGAAGAGCUUGCUCUUCCUGAAAGUGGCGAACGGGUGAGUAACGCGUGGGUAACCUACCCUUUGGAAAGGAAUAGCCUCGGGAAACUGGGAGUAAUGCCUUAUAAGAUACGUUUGUCGCAUGGCAUUUGUAUUAAACGCUCCGGCGCCAUAGGAUGGACCCGCGUCCCAUUAGCUAGUUGGUGAGAUAACAGCUCACCAAGGCCACGAUGGGUAACCGGUCUGAGAGGGCGAACGGUCACACUGGAACUGAGACACGGUCCAGACUCCUACGGGAGGCAGCAGUGGGGAAUAUUGCGCAAUGGGGGCAACCCUGACGCAGCAAUACCGCGUGAGUGAAGAAGGUUUUCGGAUCGUAAAGCUCUGUUAUUGGGGAAGAAAAAAAGACGGUACCCAAGAAGAAAGUUCCGGCUAACUACGUGCCAGCAGCCGCGGUAAUACGUAGGGAACAAGCGUUGUCCGGAUUUACUGGGCGUAAAGGGCACGCAGGCGGUUUUUUAAGUCAGAUGUGAAAGGCCACAGCUCAACUGUGGACAUGCAUUUGAAACUGAAAGACUUGAGUAUUGGAGAGGCAAGUGGAAUUCCUAGUGUAGCGGUGAAAUGC
rnacentral:rRNA from 1 species